rnacentral:rRNA from 1 species
UACGUAGGGGGCUAGCGUUGUCCGGAAUCAUUGGGCGUAAAGCGCGUGUAGGCGGCUCGGUAAGUCUGUUCUGAAAGUCCAGGGCUCAACCCUGGGAUGCGGAUGGAUACUGCCGAGCUCGAGUCCGGAAGAGGCGAGUGGAAUUCCUGGUGUAGCGGUGAAAUGCGCAGAUAUCAGGAGGAACACCAAUGGCGAAGGCAGCUCGCUGGGACGUGACUGACGCUGAGAUGCGAAAGCGUGGGGAGCAAACAGG